AGCUUUGCGCAGUGGCAGUAUUGUAGCCAAUGAGGUUUAUCCGAGGCGCGAUUAUUGCUAAUUGAAAAAGGAAGAUCGAAGCAUCAGACAGGUUGGGUGUGUGUCUGCACACGUGUAACAUUUUUUAUUGAGACGAUUCA